ACAGCAGUCGCCGCGGUAAUACAGAGGGUGCGAGCGUUAAUCGGAUUUACUGGGCGUAAAGCGCGCGUAGGUGGUUUGUUAAGUUGGAUGUGAAAUCCCCGGGCUCAACCUGGGAACUGCAUCCAAAACUGGCAAGCUAGAGUAUGGUAGAGGGUGGUGGAAUUUCCUGUGUAGCGGUGAAAUGCGUAGAUAUAGGAAGGAACACCAGUGGCGAAGGCGACCACCUGGACUGAUACUGACACUGAGGUGCGAAAGCGUGGGGAGCAAACAGGAUUAGAUACCCGGGUAGUCCCUGUCUCUUAUAA
rnacentral:rRNA from 1 species